rnacentral:rRNA from 1 species
CCGGCACGGGUGGAGUAACACGUAUGCAAUCCACCUGUAACAGGGGGAGUAACCCGGAAGAAAUCCGGACUAAUACCCCAUAAUAUGGGCGCUCCGCAUGGAGAGCCCAUUAAAGAGAGCAAUUUUGGUUACAGACGAGCAUGCGCUCCAUUAGCCAGUUGGCGGGGUAACGGCCCACCAAAGCGACGAUGGAUAGGGGUUCUGAGAGGAAAGUCCCCCACAUUGGAACUGAGACACGGUCCAA